CUUUUUUCUUUGCUCUUGACACCUUCCAUCCUUUUGGAAAAAAUCUCCCUUUUUUCAAGCUGUCUUGUCACUUGUCAUGAAAUGCUUAGGCUGAUCCAUAUUACAUUUCCAUCCACAGCCAUUAGCUAGUAAUUACCUUCUUCUUGAUAUGCCUUACAUCUUGGAUUGAAUUUUGCAGAAUAGGACUUAUUCCAGUCUCCCUAGGAUAUUGUCUUGUGUAUCACUGAGGAUACCUAUCUUCAUGCCAGCACAACUGAGAUCUGGAAUCUUAUCCCAGCUCCCAUACGCAUUGGAAUCCCCAGCUAGGAGUUGUGCUUACGGCACAGAGCAUUAAUGACAGAGAAGUAGACAUAGUGAGCCAAAAUGCUGGCAUAAGGGGUUGAUAUUUUAGAAAAUAUUUGUGAGUAACAAAUUGAGGGUAUUUUUGUUAAUUGUGUUGUAGACUUUCAUUUUCCCCUCUUCUAGCAUAUUUUGAUUAAGUAGAAGUGCAAGCUAGCCUAAGGUAAAUUGGGAAAUCAGUCCUUUAGAUGCAAUUGCUUGUUUUAUUUCUUUCCAUUUCUGAUGAAGAACAUUUUGAUGUCACUGAAACACCUAGUGCCUCAUGAUUGAAAUUCCAUCAUGCAGCAUAACUUAAAAAGUACAUAUCAAACUCUUGAAAGAUGUAAUCAGCUUCCUCAGUCACCAGUGACCAAGUAAUGAAACCUGUAUGUGGGGAGGUAAGGGGGUUGUGUACUGAGGGAAGGGAAUCAGUUUUAUCUUCAGAAAUGUUACUAUUAUAUUGACUUAGAGGUAAUAUUUUAAGCAUGGUAUCUUGCAUCUUAUAAUUCAGGAAGCCUAAAAACACAGCACAAGAAAAUUUUAAGAAAUAACAACUUUUGUUUCAAGAAAGCUUUUAGUCUGUAAUGAUACAAGCAUGGUGCAGCCCAUUGCUAUGAAUGUGUAUGGAUACCCUGUGGCUAGGGAGCUGCUGCUCUUCCAUUACCUUCCUCACUCCCUGUUUGUGAGCCCAUCUGUUGGGAAAAACAUCUCUCAGCAUGUUGUCCAACUGGACAGUGUUGUGCAAACUGGAGGGUAGGAGGGAGGCAGAGAGGGAAUAGUGAGGAUACACCAGCAUAUGUGGACCAAGAGGGUAAGUAUUUAUAGAGCUUCUGAGGAUGUAGAUGAAGAUAGGCUGUGAGAAGAACACUGAGGUAGCACAGAGCCUGGAGUACCAUGAAAAGAGAACUGGAGCUGAGAGCUCAGGAUGAAGUACCAGGCAGGCUGCACCUCCCAGGGAAAGGCCCUGUGCUUUCAUAACUUUAUCUCCAGUUUGCUCAUUGGGUGGUGGUAGGGGACACCUGAGGAUGGGGUGUGGUGUGGAAUUUAUGGAAGGCUGUUAGACUAAGAACCUGAGGUCUCAGGAAAAUCAUCUUUUUAAAGAAGAGGGAAGAGAAGUGGCUCUCAUUAGCUGGGUUUUAGGCCACUGAUGAUCUCACUGCUGCUGAGUUGGAACCACAGGAUUACCAGCUGCAUGUUUUAGAUAGGUUUAGAGUCAUCUUGGUUUCUGUUUCUGCCAUCUUGCAUCAGGUGACUACAUGAAAUCCCUCUUCCAAUCAUGUUGGAAGCCAAUUCCUGCUACCUCAAUCACAAUCAGAAUCAUGUGUUAAGUCAGUUACCAUGCUAAGAUGAUACCAAUUUGUCUUUCUCUUGCUUGUAAACUAGACAAAAAGAGAUUUGAGAGUCCGUUGUGAUGAUGUAAGAUCAGUUACCUUCAGUGUCAUUAGUGAAUCUUCCUGUACUUGGAUCAGGUAUAAUCAGAGUUCUUAGUUAUACUGCUAAUUGGUAUCAUGUUCCUCUUCUUAAUCCUUUUGGUUUUUAUAUAAAAAUGUAUCUAAGAUGAAAGAAGUUUUUAAACUAUAUAUUUGUGAAUAGCAUUUGUCACCUUCAAAUCACCAUUUACCCCCCACCUCCAUUCUGAGGAUAUAAACUGAGUUUUCAGUGUCUAUGAUUCUGGUGUCCACAUAGUAAUGUAGACUUUCAGAUUCUUUUCUCAUAGGAAGAAAAGGCUAUCAAAUUCCUGAGAGAGAGAAUUAGUAGUUCUGGAAACCAUAAAUGCACAUUUGUAAAAUCCUGAAAGAUCAUUCAUUUUUGUAGCAGAUGUUACUGGUUCAGAUUCUAGUGAUGCAAGCUAUGUAGCAAUGAGAAACAAAAUUGAAACACAAACAAUAAAAAGAAAAAAGGAUUUUUAAAAUUUAUUAUUAGUCACUGGCUGUCAUAAUCCACUGGAAGGAUCUUUCUUGAACUGAAGAACAGUAUUAAUAAUAUCAAGGACUCAAAGUUUCAUUUGCGUUAUUGAGAGUCAUGUGAUUUGAGAUUUCAACCUAUAUAUAAAGAGUAUUUAUAUAUAGAUUUUAACCUAUAUAUAAAGAGUAUUUCACUCAUAAGGCAAGAAACAUAGGUAUCUUGCAUAUAUGAGAUGAGUUGUCAGAUCAUUAAUAUUGCUGAAUACCUCUUUUUACUCAGUAAGAGAUUUCAAUGAUAAGAAUAUUUGAAAAUACCUUUUUAGGAUAAAAGAUCACACUGGAAGUGUCACUUCUACCUUCUUUGCUGAGUAUUCUCAUGGCGGAACUAGAAAAUUUCUCUUUUUAGUCUGUUCCCAGUGAUAUGAUAGGGUGCAAUUACCACAGUAUAAUGUCUUCAGCUGAGCUGUCACCUGCUGAGCUUACCCCACUUACUGUAUGAAAAAUGUUGACCUGAAUCAUCUCUGCUGAAAGUUACUUUUGACUGGGAUGGAAAAUUAUGACUAGUGCUCAUCACUGGUUGCAACGAGUCAAGGAGCAGGUCAGAACUCAUUAAGUCCAUCACACUGCUGAAUUUAGUAUCCCUAAGUUAUCACACAGACUUACACAGGUAGAUGAACAGAUGAACAGCAGCCUUUGAAAAAGCUCUAAAAUGUGUAGAUCUUCAAGUUAUUCUUUGAGCUUUAAUGAGGUGCUGGAUUCAGCUGGUUUUAGAUUUCUUGUAAAGAUCUUGAAUCAGACUGCAAGCACACUUUUAGGCUAGGGUGAUAACCUUAGUGAUAGUUACUGUCUAAAAGCAGAGAACAAGGUCUGGUAUGCUGGUGAAUUGGGAACUAGACCUUUUUCUGUCACUCAUUUGCUUUGCUGACUUGGCCAAAACUGCUUGAACAUCUCUGCUUCAUUUUCCUUAUUCAAAAUAUAAGCUAGAUAUUUCCUGAAAAGUAUGUUUCCAUGUUUACUUACAAUACACACUUUGUAAAGCACUUGGAAGAUGAAAAUCUAUUCAAGAAAAUCUGUGUGGCCUUGACUCUCUUGUUCUUCCUUAAUAUGCUGUCAGGCACCUAAUGAGAGAACUCUUGACUCAGCAGAAAGUGUGCUCUCACUUCUUAAGCUUCAAGAUUCUGUACUUGCUGAAUCACACCAGCAGAACAGUGCAAUAAAUUAUAUUGUCUGUUUCUUCGAUGGCAGGGGAGGAGGGAAUGGACUCCAGCUUACACCAACAGUUUAAUGUCUGAAUUACGGUAGAGCAUCCAUAUGUGCAACUGCACUCAGUUUGGGGUCCUGUUGGUAACUUUCAGAGUAGAAGUAUAAUUGCUUCUGUAUCACUUUGUACCAUGAAUGUGAAGCUUGUGUGAAUACUGUAUUACCUGUGGCAAUGCAGACAGUCCUUCAUUAAUAAUACAAGAAUGCUCUAGGUUUCCUGGUCUUGAGGAGAGAAGGAGCAGCAUGAGUACACGGCCAAAUUACUUCAGGAGUGAAGAUGCUUAUUUAGGUGUGGCAAAAGAUUUGCAGAAACUCACUGUUUCAAAGAGUAUUAAAAAUGCUGAAUAAAGGCGAGAGCUCGCAACUAUCACAGCAGCUGGAGAGCAGAAUAAGCGAAUCUGGGGCUGCUCUUCUGUCCUGUUGUGGUUGUGCAGAGCCUGUAUGCCAGGAUGGGCAUGUCACAGCAGGGGACACCGGGCACAUCACAGCAUUGUUCUGCAAGGAGCCACAAAAGUGCAGUCUGACAAUGAGCUUGCAGAGAUGGGGGUCACAAAAUUCAGAUGCUGUACAGAGCUGUUGGAUCCUUGAAACUCAACUUCUCCAACCUCAGAUGAAUCCAGAAAUGGUAUCACCCUGGGAGAACGAAUGGAACUCAGACCCACAAAGACAGAAAACAGGAACUGCCUUUUGAAGUAGCUGGUUUAUUUCAACAGCAUGCACUGGCAGUCAGAGGCGGAAAGAAGAGGGAAAAAACUGUAAGCAACCCAGAAAUGUUCCCAGAUGCAUGCUUUUGGCAGGGCAAGCAAUAGCAUUUUAGCAAUAUAAAUCACAGUGCUUUUAACUGAAAAAAUGCACUGAAAUCUAUACUCACACAUUUAAUUGAAAUACAUAAAGAAAUUAAAAUAAUACUCCUCAUCAGCAAUCCAAGCUGAUCAUUCUGACUACAGGAUUUUUAUGAAUAAGCACAUAAACUUGUAAUGUAAACAUAAGUAGUGCCUUGGGUUUCCUGUCAGUGAAUCCAGGCCCAGAACAAGUGAUUUUCAUGCUGUAUUUGGAUCCAGGAACAGAAAAAGGUAAAGAAGGUUUGUUGCUGGCACAAAGAUUUGGCUUUGAAAUAGUUUGUGGAACUAAUCUGCAACAAACAUAUUUUCUGCUUCUGGAGUUUCAAAAUUAUUUCAAAAUACCAGUUUUGUCUUCUGGGUCAUUUUAACACUUCUUUCAGGAAAGUAUUAUUUAAAGUGUGACCAUAUCUAUUCUUAGGAAGGGCCAACCUGGGAUUUUUUUGCCACAGUAGGCCACCUCCACUUUGCACUAUGCUUACAUUUCUGGUAGUGCCACUACCAUGAAUUGUCUGAUAAGGUCCAUCUUAAGCAUUUCUCUUCUCUUUGUCUUAACACUUUUGAUGGUGAGCUAUCAGGAUCCUCUUUGAAUUUUACAAUAGUAUUAUUGUUUUCCUGUUGCUAUAAAUCCUACCAAAGUUAAGCUUCAAACUUCCCACCUCACACACAUCAUGAGUUCGGUCUGUGAAAGGAAGGGCAUAUGUUGGCUGGGAGCUGCUGAACAGAAGCAAAGGGGAAAUUUGUAGUGAGUUUUCUCAGUUUCCUGUCCACUGAUCAUUAAAAUCUAAUGUUGUUUGUCUGUCUUGUUAUUUGUCAGAGACUUCACAUGGGGAGUUUGGAGAUGCAUCUUCUUCACAACCAUGGAAAACUUUGCAGGAGAGGAUGAAAGGAUAACAUUCUCCAAAAUUUUCAAGAGUGCUAAACCAAGAUUUCCAUAAAAUGAACCAGGGCAGAGGAUGGGGGGAGGGGGUGAAAUGUGUGCUUGAAGAAACACAGAAGAACCAGAGAGGGACACAGGAAUGUGGAUGAAGUCCUUAAGGAUCUCCAGAGAGGGCAAAUGUAGAUUCAGCAAAACUUUAUGAGACGAAACAUCCAUGAGAUGUAUACUCCUACAGCUCAUCUGUGCAGCCCACUAUCCUCUUGGGGCUUUCCCUGUACUUGGACCUGCUGGCCAACUGGCUGGUGUAGAACACCACAAUUUCUGCACAGCCCCAGAGGAAAAUCACCAUAGUGAUGAGUGUUUGUAUUCUGAUCUCAGAACUGGGUAGAAACAAAAAGAAAUUUCACACAAUUUUCUAGCCUGAUCAUCUUUAGGAACAAUACACAGAAAAUCAUGACAUAUCUCUAUUUGUCUGCUAGUUUGCAUACCUCUAGAGGAUUCUCUCACUUCUACCUCUUAUUUUUGGUCUACUCUUGGCCAACUUUAGGGAAAAAAAUCAUAGAUUGAUAGUAAUCUAAAAGCCUUUGAAGUUGUUACAAUAUUUGGGAAGAGAGGGGACCCAGCAGCUAACAGAAUCCAAAUAGGAGAGAGGCCUUUAAGAGAUCCAAACCAGGAAGAUGGCUGUAGCUGAAGUUUAUACCUGUUUUAUAUGUGAAAGUCAAGUGAACACAAGACAUGAAGUUAUAGGAGGAAACUAUGAUCUGUUCUUUGCGAGACUCACAAACCAGCUUCUUAAGUGACUGUACAUGACAACUGUUUUUCUACUGUUUUUCUAUAUGACAACUACUCAAUAAAGUUGUUAUAUAUGA